rnacentral:rRNA from 1 species
GACGAACGCUGGCGGCGUGCUUAACACAUGCAAGUCGAACGGAAAGGCCUGCUUUCCCUUGUGGAUUGCGGGUACUCGAGUGGCGAACGGGUGAGUAACACGUGAGUGAUCUGCCCCCAACUUGGGUAUAAGCCUGGGAAACUGGGUCUAAUUCCCGAUAGGACUGCAGGGUGGUGCCUGUGGUGGAAAACGAUUUUCUAGUGGUUGGGGAUGAGCUCGCGGCCUAUCAGCUUGUUGGUGGGGUAAUGGCCUACCAAGGCGGCGACGGGUAGCCGGCCUGAGGGGGUGGACGGCCACAUUGGGACUGGGAUACGGCCCAGACGCCUACGGAAGGCAGCAGUGGGGAAUAUUGCACAAUGGGCGGAAGCCUGAUGCAGCGACGCCGCGUGGGGGAUGACGGGCUUCGGGUUGUAAACUCCUUUCGACCGCGAGGAAGCCACCUGGUUGGAAGGGUGGUGACGGUAGUGGUAGAAGAAGCACCGGCUAACUACGUG